GUGGGGAAUUUUGGACAAUGGGCGCAAGCCUGAUCCAGCAAUGCCGCGUGCAGGAAGAAGGCCUUCGGGUUGUAAACUGCUUUUGUACGGAACGAAACGGUCCUGGUUAAUACCUGGGGCUAAUGACGGUACCGUAAGAAUAAGCACCGGCUAACUACGUGCCAGCAGCCGCGGUAAUACGUAGGGUGCGAGCGUUAAUCGGAAUUACUGGGCGUAAAGCGUGCGCAGGCGGUGCUGUAAGACAGGCGUGAAAUCCCCGGGCUCAACCUGGGAAUUGCGCUUGUGACUGCAGUGCUGGAGUACGGCAGAGGGGGAUGGAAUUCCGCGUGUAGCAGUGAAAUGCGUAGAUAUGCGGAGGAACACCGAUGGCGAAGGCAAUCCCCUGGGCCUGCACUGACGCUCAUGCACGAAAGCGUGGGGAGCAAACAGGAUUAGAAACCCUUGUAGUCC
rnacentral:rRNA from 1 species